CUCUCUCUGCUACUACAACCCUGGGCAAAAGCACUUCAAGCGCAGAUGAGAUUCUUUCUCAAGAGCACUUACACGACGAGGACGACAAUCGUGAGGAUGUCGAUGUAACACAUUUUUGUUUUUUAGUUCAUGGUCACAAAGGGUAUGCGAAAGAUUUAUCUUACAUUGAACAAAUCAUGCGACAAUUGUGGACUCAACGAUGGAAAAAGGAAAAGGAAAAGCAAACUCUG
rnacentral:ribozyme from 1 species